UGGGGAAUUUUGGACAAUGGGCGAAAGCCUGAUCCAGCAAUGCCGCGUGUGUGAAGAAGGCCUUCGGGUUGUAAAGCACUUUUGUCCGGAAAGAAAUGGCUCUGGUUAAUACCUGGGGUCGAUGACGGUACCGGAAGAAUAAGGACCGGCUAACUACGUGCCAGCAGCCGCGGUAAUACGUAGGGUCCAAGCGUUAAUCGGAAUUACUGGGCGUAAAGCGUGCGCAGGCGGUUGUGCAAGACCGAUGUGAAAUCCCCGAGCUUAACUUGGGAAUUGCAUUGGUGACUGCACGGCUAGAGUGUGUCAGAGGGGGGUAGAAUUCCACGUNUAGCAGUGAAAUGCGUAGAGAUGUGGAGGAAUACCGAUGGGCGAAGGCAGCCCCCAUGGGAUAACACUGACGCUCAUGCACGAAAGCGUGGGGAGCAAACAGGAUUAGAUACCCUGGUAGUCCACGCCCCUAAACGAUGUCAACUAGUUGUUGGGGGAUUCAUUUUCCUUAGUAACGUAGCUAACGCGUGAAGUUGGACCGCCUGGGGAGUACGGUCGCAAGAUUAAAAGCUCAAAUGAAUUGACGGGGGCUCAUAG
rnacentral:rRNA from 1 species